UUCCAUGUGAUGUCACCAGUAUUGUGGCAACACCAAAUGUCAUUGGGACAUUGGUGCAGUGUCUGGUAUUUCACCUACAGACAUUCUGUCUAGACUGAACAGGAUUCUUGGGAGACAGGAUGGAGAGGAUAGGGACACCAAAGAGAGGCAGAAGGAAGAUGGCCUUCAGUCGCCAUGCCACACAUCAAGAAAUAAAUGGUUCUGGCGAAAGCACAGUGAGUCCUGGGAAAGGGAUGGGGAGCUUCCUGAAGGAGGAAGGCUUGAUCUGAUCCGUCCAGGAGUGAGGCUAAGCAGGGACUACUAGGAAGGCAUCAUCCACACCCUUCUUCCUCACUGAGCAGGAGCAGCAGCUGAACCUGGUGGAUAAACUGACCCUUCAGCUACAGAUGAUGACCAAUGAGAGGAAUGAACUGCUUAAAUUCCUGGCCCUAUAUAACAGCAAUGAGUUGAACAACAGCACCCUCUACAGUCAGCUCCCAAAUGAAUGGACUCAGCUAAAGGAAAAUGUGAGCAUGUUGAAAGAGGACAACAGAAAGCUGCAGGGGGAGCAGAUUUUACUACAAGAGUCCUGCAAGGAGGUGAGGAGGCUCUGUGAGGAGGCUCAUGAGAAGAUCUAUGACCUCUAGACAAAGCAGCAGCAGCACCUGUUAAGAAGACUGGGAAGGCUGGAAGAAGCCAGAGACACCUCAAAGGCAUGACAUUCUACACUCCAGAUUCAAGGCCUCUUCAGAAAAUGCUACCUCUUUUCAGCUUUGAACUCACUAGUGAUGCAAAUAUCAACCUACCAUCAGGCAAUCCAGCCACAAUGUCAUGCAUAUCUGUUGGCUCACUAUCCCCAGAGAAAAGUUUGUAUCAGAAAUAAGUCUACUCUUCCCUGCCUCACUUGAGAUGGCUUGAGUUGAGUUCCCUGUCAUGACUUGUAACAGAUAAACUUUGCUUUUGCAUUCUGGUAUGCUUGUCCUUGGUGGUCUCUCUGGGGGUUACGAUCUGGGCACAACAUUUGGUGCUCAUUCCGGGAUCCCCAGAGACCCCCCGCCGGGACCCCUAAGAGCUCCAGAGGUCCAUGUGCACCGAUCGGUAAGAGCGCUCUCUGUCUUAUGUCUGUCCUGUAUAUGUCUCUCUCUUGUUACUUUAGUUUUGUACUGGUCGACCGAUUUGUACUUUUACAGACACCGAUUUGUACUUUUGCAGGCUCUCACUGGGACAGAUGUGUCUGGACAGUGAUCCUGAGAGGGGAAGAGGGACGCCUCCUUCCCUGAUUUGGGCGAGGACCCCCUGGUCCUGAGCCAUUUGGGCAAGGGACCCUCUGGUCCUGAGCCAUUUGAGGCCACCUCAGAGGUGACCAUUUGGUUUGGGUAUCUCCCCCGGCCCCAGGAGGGAGUGCCGACUUGUACUUUGUCCUGGGAAAUUGUUGGUGUCUUUUUGUAUCUUGUUUUGAUUGUGGCUUUGUUGUUUUCUCUCUUUGUUGGUUUUCAUUGAAGACUUUCUCACCCCUAGACUUAACCAGCCACUGCUGCUUCAGAGACCCAGGGUGCCACUGAGAGGGCAAGGCAGUCUGUGAACAUCACAGGGCCUAGAUGCAGCGGGUUCGGGUUGGGGGGGGCAGCUUGCUCAGAGAGCUGUAAAAUAGAGGCAGCCAGGCUGGCCCAGAGGCUGCAUGGGAACUAGGCAUGGCUGUGUGCUAGGGCAGGCUGGGAGCACUGUGGGGCCCAGAUAUUGCUGGCAGGUUCUGGCUGGGCUCCCAAAGCCAGCAGGAGCCUGGAGGAGCUCAGAAUAUGGGAGCUGGUAAAAAAAACUAACUGCCCCUCCAACCAGGACAUGG